rnacentral:misc_RNA from 1 species
GAUGAAGAACGCAGCGAAAUGCGAUAAGUAAUGUGAAUUGCAGAUUUCAGUGAAUCAUCGAAUCUUUGAACGCACCUUGCGCCUUGUGGUAUUCCACAAGGCAUGCCCGUUUGAGUAUCAUUAAAUCAUCAACUCUAAAACCUUUGUGGUUUUUUUUAGAGCUUGGUCUUGAGGGUUUUGCAGGCUUUUUUUUUUUCGAGUCUGCUCCCUUUAAAUGCAUUAGCGAGACUUCCCUAUGCUGAACCGUCUCUUUGACGUGAUAAUUAUCUGCGUCGAAUUUUGGUUCUCGUUGGGCUUGCUUCUAAUCGUCUGUUAAAGACAAAACGGAUUUGGGUGCAUAUAUGCGCCUUUUUCCAAAACCUUUUUUUGAUCUCAAAUCGGGUAGGACUACCCGCUGAACUUAAGCAUAUCAAUAAGCGGAGGA